rnacentral:misc_RNA from 1 species
AAAGUCGUAACAAGGUUUCCGUAGGUGAACCUGCGGAAGGAUCAUUAGAAUGAGAGCCGGACCAUGUCGUGGGCGAAAGGCUCGCACGUGCCAGAUCGGCACCCAUUAAACCUGCACCCCUUUGCCCGAAAUGAUUUCUUUCAUCAUUGGUCCCCCUUUGGCAGGCCGCGACCCUCUGGGGGAGCGCUGGCUUCGGCUGGAGAGUGCCUGCCAGGAGGACCAAACUCUGUAAUUUAAUGCCGUCUGAGUACUACGAAAAAUAGUUAAAA